AAGCUGUAUAUGAUAACAUAGUUCAGCAGAUGGUCUGUGAAGAACAUGCUGUACUGUCUCUUGCUCCUAUCUGAUGCAUCCU